rnacentral:rRNA from 1 species
GACGAACGCUGGCGGCGUGCUUAACACAUGCAAGUCGAACGGAAAGGCCCUGCUUUUGUGGGGUGCUCGAGUGGCGAACGGGUGAGUAACACGUGAGUAACCUGCCCUUGACUUUGGGAUAACUUCAGGAAACUGGGGCUAAUACCGGAUAGGAGCUCCUGCUGCAUGGUGGGGGUUGGAAAGUUUCGGCGGUUGGGGAUGGACUCGCGGCUUAUCAGCUUGUUGGUGGGGUAGUGGCUUACCAAGGCUUUGACGGGUAGCCGGCCUGAGAGGGUGAUCGGCCACAUUGGGACUGAGAUGCGGCCCAGACUCCUACGGGAGGCAGCAGUGGGGAAUAUUGCACAAUGGGCGGAAGCCUGAUGCAGCAACGCCGCGUGCGGGAUGACGGCCUUCGGGUUGUAAACCGCUUUCGCCUGUGACGAAGCGUGAGUGACGGUAAUGGGUAAAGAAGCACCGGCUAACUACGUG